CACAUUUAUAUAAAUGGUUUUAACUAGUAUUAAAGAGAAAGUAAUCAUCACGUCUAUUUUUAUAAAUCUAAUAAAAGUAUUAAAAAGUACCUUUUAGUUACCUUUUGUAUCAUGAACAUACGAGAAAUCUAAAUGACCUAUCUUUCCCGAACCUAAGAGAUCUACCUUUUAACAUGCGCUAUUGUAGCAAUAAUGGCGUCAAUAAAUUGUAGUUAUGAAAAUUUAACCGAUCUUAGUUAUACCUGGUUCUGCUCCUCAUAAUAUAAAAUAAUAGCCACAGCUUGGCUAAUAUGUUACUUGGUUAAGCUAAGUAAUCUAAAGUUAAUUACUCUAAUUCCUAAAGAACAAGAUCUAAAAGUAGUCUUUAUUUAGUGUCAUUAUCGCUUUCUAUUCUAUAUAUCUUAAUCCUUUAAAAUGACUUUUAUCGGAGUGGAUUUUUGUUUAAUUACUUAACAUAAUCUAUAAUGUAUGUAUUACUAGCUUAUGAAUAUAUUGUAUUAAUCUUGUAGGUUAUGGAACCAGAACUCGGCUCAUUUUCUUCAACUGUUUAUUAAAAACAUAGCUUUGAGAUAUAUUCAAAGUGUCUUCUGCCCACUGAUAUCGUUUAAUGGCCGCAGUACCCUGACUGUGCUAAGGUAGCGUGAUUCUUGUUUUCUUAAUUAGAAAUCUGUUCAAAGAAUGAAAUGAAGAGAAUCUAUUGUUUCCAUAUAAAGUGAACUUAAAUUGUUAGUGAAAAUUCUGACAAGCGUUUAAAAGACGAGAAGACCCCACAAAACUUAAUUUGAUCUCUUUUUCAAGGGUUUAAAAUUUAAAUGGGGACUUUAGAGUAUAAUAAUAACUCAAAGACCUAUUUCUAUAAUAUUAGCGAAGCUACUUUGGGGAUAACAGGGUAAAAUAUUUAGAGAGUUCAUAUCGAUAAAUAUAUCUACUACCUCGAUGUUGGAUUAUCUUUUCAUAUAUAUUGCAGCAGUAUAUAUUGUUAGUCUGUUCGACUAUUAAAAAGUUACAUGAUCUGAGUUUAAACCGUUGUGAGACAGGUUGGAUUUUAUCUUUACACAAGAUUUAAAUGUGUUAGUACGAAAGGAAUUCAUAUUUGUAAUAAUUACU
rnacentral:rRNA from 1 species